CCAANUUCGGCGGCUGGCUCCUUGCGGGUUACCCCACCGACUUCGGGUGUUGUAAACUCUCGUGGUGUGACGGGCGGUGUGUACAAGACCCGGGAACGUAUUCACCGCGGCAUGCUGAUCCGCGAUUACUAGCAAUUCCGACUUCAUGCAGGCGAGUUGCAGCCUGCAAUCCGAACUGAGACCGGCUUUUAAGGAUUGGCUCCGCCUCGCGGCUUCGCGGCCCGUUGUACCGGCCAUUGUAGUACGUGUGUAGCCCAGGUCAUAAGGGGCAUGAUGAUUUGACGUCAUCCCCGCCUUCCUCCGGUUUGUCACCGGCAGUCAAUUCAGAGUGCCCACCCUAACUGGCUGGAAACGGAUUUCAAGGGUGGCGUUCGUGGGGGGAUUAACCCAAAAAUCCCACGAACCAAGUUGAC
rnacentral:rRNA from 1 species